CACGAGGAUGGGAAUGAGAGUCACCGUUAGAAGCGAUCCGUGAGCUGGGUUGAGACCGCUAAAAGCAGGUCGUUCCCAAAGG
rnacentral:rRNA from 1 species